AUAGAAUCUGUAAAAC
rnacentral:sRNA from 1 species